GAUGAGAAGCUUCGACUAAGGUUCGAUUCGAGCGAAAGCGAGAAAGCGUUGCCGCAGGCAACGACCCGAAGGGCGAAACGCGCAGCGCUGAGUCAUCCUUCCCCCACCACCA
rnacentral:sRNA from 1 species